rnacentral:rRNA from 1 species
UUCUUCCGCAUGGUAGAACUAUUAAAGAAUUUCGGUCAUCGAUGGGGAUGCGUUCCAUUAGGUUGUUGGCGGGGUAACGGCCCACCAAGCCUUCGAUGGAUAGGGGUUCUGAGAGGAAGGUCCCCCACAUUGGAACUGAGACACGGUCCAAACUCCUACGGGAGGCAGCAGUGAGGAAUAUUGGUCAAUGGACGAGAGUCUGAACCAGCCAAGUAGCGUGAAGGAUGACUGCCCUAUGGGUUGUAAACUUCUUUUAUACGGGAAUAAAGUGAGGCACGUGUGCCUUUUUGUAUGUACCGUAUGAAUAAGGAUCGGCUAACUCCGUGCCAGCAGCCGCGGUAAUACGGAGGAUCCGAGCGUUAUCCGGAUUUAUUGGGUUUAAAGGGAGCGUAGGCGGACGCUUAAGUCAGUUGUGAAAGUUUGCGGCUCAACCGUAAAAUUGCAGUUGAUACUGGGUGUCUUGAGUACAGUAGAGGCAGGCGGAAUUCGUGGUGUAGCGGUGAAAUGCUUAGAUAUCACGAAGAACUCCGAUUGCGAAGGCAGCCUGCUGGACUGUAACUGACGCUGAUGCUCGAAAGUGUGGGUAUCAAACAGGAUUAGAUACCCUGGUAGUCCACACAGUAAACGAUGAAUACUCGCUGUUUGCGAUAUACAGUAAGCGGCCAAGCGAAAGCGUUAAGUAUUCCACCUGGGGAGUAC